rfam:Listeria monocytogenes EGD-e, complete genome
CUAAAGACAAUGAAAGAGCCAAGUAGCAUAGUGAGUCUGUAUAGGGAGAAGUGGUCAUAGACUGAAAGCCACUUUACAAACGAAUUUGUGAACAUUUCACCUCUGGAGUCGCCGCCGGGAAGCACAAGUAGUGUGAAGGUGGUCCGGUUACUAAGCCGUUAUCGAAUUAUGAGUGGGAACAAUUUUUUGUUCUUAUUAGGGUGGUACCGCGAGAAGUCUCGUCCCUUUG